GACGAACGCUGGCGGCGUGCCUAAUACAUGCAAGUCGAACGAGAGCGACCGGUGCUUGCACUGGUCAAUCUAGUGGCGAACGGGUGAGUAACACGUGGGUAACCUGCCCAUCAGAGGGGGAUAACAUCCGGAAACGGAUGCUAAAACCGCAUAGGUCUUCGAGCCGCAUGGCUUGAAGAGGAAAAGAGGCGCAAGCUUCUGCUGAUGGAUGGACCCGCGGUGCAUUAGCUAGUUGGUGAGGUAACGGCUCACCAAGGCCGUGAUGCAUAGCCGACCUGAGAGGGUGAUUGGCCAAAUUGGGACUGAGCCACGGCCCAAACUCCUACGGGAGGCAGCAGUAGGGAAUCUUCCGCAAUGGACGCAAGUCUGACGGAGCAACGCCGCGUGAGUGAAGAAGGUUUUCGGAUCGUAAAACUCUGUUGUUAGAGAAGAACAAGUGCUAGAGUAACUGUUAGCGCCUUGACGGUAUCUAACCAGAAAGCCACGGCUAACUACGUG
rnacentral:rRNA from 1 species